GCUCUAAUUAAAACUGCUCUAUUUUUUUGCCCCCAGUAGAGGUCGCAGAAUGCCUUGUAUACACUAGGAGCUUAAUAAAUAUUAGUUCACUCCUCUCUCCCCUUAGCUGCACUCAUGUUGCUUGCACUUCUUGGACUGAACUUUGAGUUUUCUCUACUUUCCGAAAUAAUAAGCAUCCUUCCAGGACCAACUCAAGCCAGCGUUUUCAAGGCCCUCCUGCCCAUCUCAUCACGAGUAAGGUGGCUCUUUCCCCCUUCAAAGCCUGGCUUUAUCCAGACACCUUUUAUUUUUAUUUUUAAUUUUUUUAUUUUUUGCUUUUUAGGGCCACACCUGGGGCAUAUGGAGGUUCCCAGGCUAGGGGUCGAGGUGGAGUAGCCGCCAGCCUACACCACAGCCACAGCAACUCGGGAUCCAAGCCACAUCUGCGACUACACCACAGCUCAUGGCAACACCAGUUUACCCACUGAAUGAGGCCAGGGAUCGAACCCGUGUCCUCAUGGAUGCUAGUCAGGUCUGUUUCCACUGAGCCACAAGGGGAACUCCCCAGACACCUUUCAUACUGGGCUUCUCAGCUGCUGCCACAGUCGGUGCUGUUUCUGUGGGUGUCUUCCGGCCGCAUGUGCCGCCACGGAAAACAACUGUCUUCUCUUCAGCUCUCGAGCGUGGCUGGGUUCCCCCAGCACCUCGCGUGUAGCGGGCCCUCAGGAGGCCAGCAAGAAAUGUGUUGACUAAAUGGAAGGGCUGGUGAGGUCGUGGGCAGGAAUAGGCCGAGGGAGGUUGGCUUCAGGUCCGAGGGCUGAGGAGAGGCUGUGUCUGGCUCCGUCCAGGCCUUUGUGUGGCCCUGCCUGCCCCUCCUCCCGCACAAAGAGUAAGUCUGUGUUUAGAGCGGUGUGAUUUAAAGGUCACAUUUAUUAGCAAAUAGCUGUGUUUAUAAACUCAGUUUGACCAAAAAAAAGGGAGCCUUUGAAAUGAAUCCUGUCUGCUGAAACCAGAACCAAGUUCCACCACCCGAUCACACUGAGGCUGGUGAAGGAGACGCACGGCCAGCGCAGCCUCCCAACCCUGCAUGCCCCACUCGUUCCUUUUCCUUUCUUGAAAUAGAAAUUUGUCAAAACUUGAUGGAAUUUUUAGGCUGGGGUUUAUUUACUUUGUGCCAACCUGCCCUGUCCUGACGUUCUGCUCUGCAUGGAGGAGAUGGAGCCUCGGGGCCCCAUUUGGGCUCUGACCCUGCUCAGCUCAGCUGCGCUCCCCCAGGCUGGUUUACUCCUCACCCAGAGAGUCCAGAAGACGGGCCCAGGGCCUGGCCCCCCGCCGCCCCAGGGCGUCCUAUUGGAAAGGGGACCCUGAGAGGGUGGUGGCCUGGGUUUGUGAUGCAGAAGAAACCACUGCAAGUCCGAAGCUUUGAAGAGGCACUAUCUGGCAUGAACUGGGCCAGUUUCUCUGGCCCCCAGGUUCCAGCUGCACAGAGAGAAAAUUGCAGGUAGAAAAUGACCCCAGGAGCCCACACGCAUCCUAGGAAGAGGGGGAGCCCAGCCCAGAGACGGCUGCCACCCCUGGGCUGGUUUUAGUGAACAAGGCAUGAUGGCUCCUUCGUUGCUGAGACAGGGAUUCAGAGGAUGGAAGAUGCUGGAAUCAUUGGCUGGUGAUCCUGUCCAGAGACAUCAGGAUGCCCCAAUUUUAAUUUUAAUGAUGUGUGGAGAGUUGACCAUCAUGAAUGAUGGAACUCAGUUCUGUGAGGAGAGGACAGAAUUUCAAACCACUUUCUAGAGGGGAAGAGGGCGCAGGGAGGUGCCAAGUGAGAGGGUCCCCUGGGGAGAGAUUGGAGGUGGGCUUAAGACGUAUGGGGCUGAGGCUGUUAUAUCCCCGUUUGGUGAGAGAAACGGGCAGGAAUGAUGAUAAAUGGCUCUUUUCUCACAAUACUCACUCAAGGGGCUCUACGUUUUUGCCCCACCGAAGAGCCUCGAAAGGCUUAAAGAAUUCCACUUUGGAAUUACCUCUGAGCUAGUUUAUAUUUUCUAUCUCAUCGCUCUACAAUUGCACCUCAUUUUUAACCCCAAAAAUAGUUUCCUGCUCCAUCAACCACCUUAUUCAUCAGAAUUGGCUCUGGAUAAUUUUUAGUUGUUUCCAAAAAUGAAAUUCAGCCUCAAAGCGGGAAGAUUUAUGUUCCUGAAGCUCCUUAAGAAAUGUGACUUCAACUCCGAAGAACUCGAGAGGAGUUCUGGAUACGUUUUGGUACUGAAAAAACAAUUCAAGUUUCAUUAUUUCGCUGUCCAAUCUCAUCUAUUUUCAUAUCCUCUUCUCUGCCAUUGUUUUAGACAUGAAGCUGAUCUGAAUAAAGUAUUCCAAGUACAUUAAUCAAAGAAUCUAGCUUAAUCUAGCCAUCUGUAGCUCCAUUUUUGCUUCUACAACAUCUCUUUGAGUGUAAGAAAAAGAAAAGGGGAAAGAUAUAGGUAGGAAAAAAAUAGAGGUGCAUGUAAUUAAGUCAUAAAGAGUGAUAGAUGCCACUUUCUACUGCUCCUCGCAGGCUCCGUGCAUUGUAUGGGCAGAGGGCAACCUUAUAGCUCUGUUGUCUUCUUGUUACUAGAGUAUUCAUAUUAAUUGUAGAAAAUAAGGGAAAAAAAGCAAAAGGAUGGGAAUCUAAAAAUCAUCUGUAAUUCCAUCAACUAUAGGUAACUAAUUUUGAGCUUUUUUCUGUCUAGCUCUUAAUUUCUUAAAAUGUUUUAUUUUUAUUUUUCGGCUGCCCCCGCUCCUCCCCGUGGCAUAUGGAUGUACCCAGGUUAGGGACUGAAUCAGAGCUGCAGCUACCGGCCCACGCCGCAGCCUCAGCAACUCAGGAUCCAGGAGGCAUCUGCAGCCCACAACACGUGGGUUAAGGAUCCGGCGUUGCUGUGAGCUGCGGUGUAGGUUGCAGCUACAGCUCUGAUUAGACCCCUAUCCUGGGAACCUCUACAUGCUGUGGGAGCAGCCCUAGAAAAGGCAAAAAGACAAAAAAAAAAAAAA
rnacentral:lncRNA from 1 species